CUCCUCUACUCAGUAGAGACCCCCACUCCUCUCAUCUUUGCAUUGGUGUUAUUCCAUUUUCUGAUAGCAUAGCAGGAAAAGAGGCUUGAUUUCCUGAUCAGAGGGGCCUAUACCAGUUAGCUCCCCAACUCUCUGCAUGAUUAGGCAAGGAGCAUGAGAGGAGUGCUUGGGGGUGAGAGUUGCCAUCAUGUGCACUCUGCUAUUCAGCUCUCAGAUGACCUUGUUGUUCCCUCUGCCUAGGAAGCCAGCACUCAUCUAUUAUAUGAAACUCAUUCUGGUCCCUUGGCUUCCCAAUCCACUGAGACUCUCUUGGGAGUAACAAACUGUUUGCUGAUCUGUUAUAAUAGCCACACUCCCCCUUGAUUUAUAUCCUUCCAAAGCAUGCAACUAUCCCCCUUCUGUGGAAAUCCUUUUCUUCAAGUUGGGGCAGGAGACAAUCUCUGAAACUUUGUCAUAUUACCAUCAUACACAGGAAUUUCCAAAUCCUUGUACUGACCUUGAAAUUCUGUGGCAAUGCUCCUGAGGUCAUCCUCACUUUGCAAAUGGGAAAAACUGACCUGUAAGGGUCAUGGGAUAUGCCAAGGUCAGAAUGGAAUCAAAAGCUCCUCAGUCACUAGAACACACUACCAUUUCUUGAGGAUCUUAAUGUUCCAUCUGAAGCAGGACACUGUUGGAGCUGUUUAAGAAUCUCAUUUGCUGGUUUUUGCCUGAGUUCUUCUGAGGACCAGUGGCAAAUAACAUAAAGAAGUCGCCAUGACAACGGAACUCCUUAGAAAUAGCAGACUGCUCUGGCUUAUGAGAUGCCUGAAUCCUAAGACUGAGAUGCAGGAUCUGCCCCACAGGUGAUGGUGAGAGAAACCAGGGAGGGACUAAUGAGACUGACUUGUACUCAUUCAACCUGGGUCCUAGCCUUGCUCAGACCAUUCUCUACCUAUGGAAACUCAGGCCUGACAUUCUAUCCAUUGUUCUAUCCAGCUGCUCAGAUCAUGCACAGAGGAAAAAACAAGGGAAUGAAAAAGACUGAUGGACCAUACUAAGAUAUGCAGUUGAACCAUUGAGAGGUUAGUCCCUCUGUGCAUAAUAUCUUGAACUACAGUUAGACAAUGAACUGGACCUAGAAUUAAGUGUGAUUAAAGGGCAAGCUAGAAUCAGUUUAAGAAAUUGGAGAGCAUUUUAGUGACCCAGGCAUUUGUCUAAAACAGAAACCCAACUUUUAUACACCAAUAUUCUCCUAAGGAUGCCAUAUUUUUAGCCUAUGAAUCAGAGAAUACUACAGUCUCCAGAGAAUCUUAAUUAAACUUCAUGAUGGACAUGAAUAGGCUUCAAAAUAUUAACUAGAAAGACUUGUGUCCAAGAAGUGGAAUAAAGAAUGUCAUCAAAGAAAGAUAAAGGAGGUA
rnacentral:lncRNA from 1 species